CGCGAGCUGGGUUUAGAACGUCGUGAGACAGUUCGGUCCCUAUCCGCCGCGCGCGUAGGAAACUUGAGAAAGGCUGUCCCUAGUACGAGAGGACCGGGAUGGACGAACCUCUGGUGUGCCAGUUGUUCUGCCAAGAGCACGGCUGGUUGGCUACGUUCGGAAGUGAUAACCGCUGAAAGCAUCUAAGCGGGAAGCACGUUUCAAGAUGAGGUUUCCCACUGGUUUAUCCAGGUAAGGCCCCCAGCAGACCACUGGGUUGAUAGGCCGGAAGUAGAAGUGCAGCAA
rnacentral:ncRNA from 1 species